rnacentral:rRNA from 1 species
UUGAACGCUGGCGGCAGGCCUAACACAUGCAAGUCGAGCGGUAGCACAGAGAGCUUGCUCUCGGGUGACGAGCGGCGGACGGGUGAGUAAUGUCUGGGAAACUGCCUGAUGGAGGGGGAUAACUACUGGAAACGGUAGCUAAUACCGCAUAAUGUCGCAAGACCAAAGUGGGGGACCUUCGGGCCUCAUGCCAUCAGAUGUGCCCAGAUGGGAUUAGCUAGUAGGUGGGGUAACGGCUCACCUAGGCGACGAUCCCUAGCUGGUCUGAGAGGAUGACCAGCCACACUGGAACUGAGACACGGUCCAGACUCCUACGGGAGGCAGCAGUGGGGAAUAUUGCACAAUGGGCGCAAGCCUGAUGCAGCCAUGCCGCGUGUGUGAAGAAGGCCUUCGGGUUGUAAAGCACUUUCAGCGGGGAGGAAGGCGUUAAGGUUAAUAACCUUGGCGAUUGACGUUACCCGCAGAAGAAGCACCGGCUAACUCCGUGCCAGCAGCCGCGGUAAUACGGAGGGUGCAAGCGUUAAUCGGAAUUACUGGGCGUAAAGCGCACGCAGGCGGUCUGUCAAGUCGGAUGUGAAAUCCCCGGGCUCAACCUGGGAACUGCAUUCGAAACUGGCAGGCUAGAGUCUUGUAGAGGGGGGUAGAAUUCCAGGUGUAGCGGUGAAAUGCGUAGAGAUCUGGAGGAAUACCGGUGGCGAAGGCGGCCCCCUGGACGAAGACUGACGCUCAGGUGCGAAAGCGUGGGGAGCAAACAGGAUUAGAUACCCUGGUAGUCCACGCCGUAAACGAUGUCGAUUUGGAGGUUGUGCCCUUGAGGCGUGGCUUCCGGAGCUAACGCGUUAAAUCGACCGCCUGGGGAGUACGGCCGCAAGGUUAAAACUCAAAUGAAUUGACGGGGGCCCGCACAAGCGGUGGAGCAUGUGGUUUAAUUCGAUGCAACGCGAAGAACCUUACCUGGUCUUGACAUCCACAGAACUUUCCAGAGAUGGAUUGGUGCCUUCGGGAACUGUGAGACAGGUGCUGCAUGGCUGUCGUCAGCUCGUGUUGUGAAAUGUUGGGUUAAGUCCCGCAACGAGCGCAACCCUUAUCCUUUGUUGCCAGCGGUCCGGCCGGGAACUCAAAGGAGACUGCCAGUGAUAAACUGGAGGAAGGUGGGGAUGACGUCAAGUCAUCAUGGCCCUUACGACCAGGGCUACACACGUGCUACAAUGGCAUAUACAAAGAGAAGCGACCUCGCGAGAGCAAGCGGACCUCAUAAAGUAUGUCGUAGUCCGGAUUGGAGUCUGCAACUCGACUCCAUGAAGUCGGAAUCGCUAGUAAUCGUAGAUCAGAAUGCUACGGUGAAUACGUUCCCGGGCCUUGUACACACCGCCCGUCACACCAUGGGAGUGGGUUGCAAAAGAAGUAGGUAGCUUAACCUUCGGGAGGGCGCUUACCACUUUGUGAUUCAUGACUGGGGUG